CCCCCCCUUGCCUGGCUUUUGUCUUGACGGAAGGGAAAGGCGGGAGGAAGCCACCUGGCGGAGCAUCAGGGGUGCGCUUGUCUCCUGCGAGCCAGGUGGGCGCUGGAGCGCCGCGGUCGGGCGAGGCGAGGAGCUGGGAGAGAGGCGUCUCCUCUCCUCGGCUUGCUUUUCUCUCUCACGGGGCCGCCCGUUGGCCGAAGCACAUUCUAUCUGUAAUCAUUGGCAUCAGGACAGAUUGAAAUAAAAACCUGACAGAUGCCUGUGCCACCGCCGCCACCACCACCUCUUCCACCAUCUUUUUCCACUGGUCCCCCACCUCCUCCCCCUCCGCCGCUUCCAUCACCUUCUUCUGCAGGAUCACCACCACCACCACCACCUCCUCCACCACCUCUUCCUCCUCCAUCACCUUCUUCUGGAGGUGCGCCACCAUCCCCUAUUUCUAUUCCAUCAUCUUCUGGAGAGCCGCCACCACCACCACCACCACAGCUACCAUCUCCAACUCCUCUGGCAAAUACAGAGCCACCCAAGACAAGAAGGGAUGAUUCAAAAAGCCGAAGUGCUUUGUUACACGAAAUCCAGAGAGGGACUCGUCUGAGGAAGGUAGCACAAAUCAACGACCGAAGUGCACCGCAGAUUGAAAACAGUAGAAGAAGAACAAGUAAGGAUGGAGGAGGCUCUGGAAAUGGGAGGAAUGAUGUUCCUCAGGCACUAGGGAACCUUUUUGCGGAGGGAUUUCCUGUUCUAAGACCAGUUGGCCAAAGAGACUUAACAGGCAAUAAGGCUGGGAAGCCAUCUGCUGUACGAAUGUCCCUGCCUCUAAAAUCUCCAGCCCCACAGAACAAUAGUGGAAAAGCCAAUGGCAGCCAUGAAGUUACACCUGAAAGCACCACACCAACAGACCAGUCAGAAGAAUGUAAGGCCCAGCGAGCAGUGCCAAUUCGUCCCAGUAUUCCUGCUCCUCCACCGCCACCGCCACCUCCUCCACCACCUCCGCCACCACUGCCACCUUCCAGUGGCAAACCUUCACUCAUCUUCCCUCCUCCCCCGUCACUUCCUCCUCCUCUGGCUGAAAACCACGACAAACUCGUCUCCCCAAACUUUGCUACAGAUGCUACUUCACCCCCUCAGAAAGAUGGGCCUCCUAAGGCUCAGUCCUCCCCCUCACACAUGCCACCUCCACCACCUCCCUUGCCAGUGGCACCACCUUCUGGGCUUCCAGGCAGAACAGGUGAACGUUCCUCCCAGCUUGAUUUAAGAACUAACCCAACACCCACCCUGCCUCCCCCUCCCCCACCUCCUAUGUCCACCUUUUCCUCACACAGAACAUCUUUGUCACUACCAUCUUCGCCAACCACUAACAGUGCCUUGUGUGACAACAAUGAUGCUGCCCCUCCAUUGCCUCCCAAGUCACUAUUUGUGCAAUCUCAGUCUCAGAAGCCCAGUAUUCAGUCGCUGCCUCUACCCCCUACUCCUCCUCCUCCUCCUCCGGCCACACAGCAAGCUGCUGUCAUGCAGAAAAGACGACACGGGAGAGGCGCAGGCAAGUUGAUGCCACCACCUGUUCCUCCUGCAAGAUCCCCAACAACUGAGCUCACAAGCAAAAGCCAAUAUGCUCACGUAUCUCCAUGGCUGGUUACCCAUGAGCUCCCAGCACUUAAGAAUGGAACUGUGCACAUAAUGGAGGAUAUACUCCACCAGAAGAAUCAAUACAGUUUUGGAAGGAGACGGGAUGCACAAGUUAAAACAAGAAACGAAAUUCUGAAAGCAAUUAUAGAUGACUUUGAGUCUAAAUUUACUUUCCAUUCUGUGGAAGAAUUUCCUCCUCCAGAGGAGUUUAAACCAUGUCUGAAAAUUUAUCCUAGCCAAGAGGCUAGAGAUAGCACCAACAAUCCUCUCAUAAGAGCACAAGUGAGAUGAGAAGAUCCAUGCAUGUCGCAGCAGGAGUGUUGCUGAAAAGGUCAACAGUUGUAUUAUAAAAUAUAGAACUCUUGUUUUCAUAACCACACAGUACGUGUGGCUAAAAUUACACUAUGUUCAAGACCAUAUGUGCUACCUACUGCUUGUGAACACUGGAUGGAGUUGGAAUGGUGGUGCAUGGACUGCUAGGGGUUGAAAUGCGAUUGUUUUUCAGUUUCAGCUGCGUUCAAAUGGACCUGAAAUUCCAUGGAGUCGCCACUCUGUUUAUUUUAAUAAAUUUCAUGGAAUCCUCAGGAUAGCUCAAGUAGGUCAAGUCCAUAAUGUAGGUCUGUCUGUAUAUGGCAUACUUUAUUUGGCCAUAAGUACUCACAGUGAGAAGAAAUAGUGGUUAAAUUUGUAAUUAAUUACAAUGGUCAAAGUUCCUACUUGUAUUAUCUACUGAACUUCAGCCUACUCCACUAUAUACACUCUAAUUCCAGACUGGAUUUGUUGUAUUUCAAUAGGUUGAAAGUUACAUUUUCUCUUCUUAAGAAAUCUACGUACUGUAACAUUGUGUAAAUUAAUGUCUUGUGGGUUCCCUGAAGUGACUUUGCAGUUGUAUGGCACUCCAGUGAAAUACAACCUGUAUAUAUAUUUAUAUAUGAACACAAAGGUUGCUGGCAAAAUCUUACCCACUGGCAAAGCAGAGGCUUGACAUUAGUUGCAUAUAUAUCUGUGAGAAUACCACUUUAUCUUAGAUCUCCUAGGCUUGGAUAUGUCCACCUUUGAGUGGAGAAGAACAACCUACAAGUUAAAUAGCCUUUUAAAGGAAGUACGAUAGGGCAUGACAGAAUAUGCAUUGUCCAGCAAACCUCAGGUUUUAAAAUAGAGGUCCUGUCACUCACUACCAGAUGUCUGUUCGUGGGCAUUUUAGCACAAUAUAUUUAUGAUGCUGCUAUAGAAGGCAAGGGUCUUAGACACCCUAUUACCCAGCAAAUCUUAGAAAUCAAAUUAGAUAUUAUAUGGCAGACAUACCUCUUCUACCCAUAUUCCAACAAAAUUACUUUUAAGCAAAAUGUAUUUAUGUGCAGGGAAUAAUUAUAAGUGCACCCCACCUCAGUCAGUAAAGCUGGUCUUAAAAGUUUGUUUUAAAUAUUUUUCUUUUAAAUUUAAAUAAGGCAUGUGGUACCCACAUAAAAUUUGAUUCAUUGUGCUUUAAAAGGGAAAUGUGUUUUCAGUGGGGGAUCUUCACAGCCUUCAGAAUAAGUGAAGGGCAUGUUGUCCACCUCUGAACUAUGGAAACCUUUGAGAGGUACAGUUAUGGGUAUAUAGGUAAAGUUUCCCCUAGUCAAAUUUGUCCAGUCGUUUCCGACUCUAGGGGGCGGUGCUCAUAUACUGAAUGUUAAAGACUUAGAAUGUUAAUCACUUAGAAAAGAGUGUUAAGACACCACAUGUAUAAUUUAUUUCUUCUUUCAUACUUGCAUCCUACUGUAGCUACUUCUCCUUAAAAGAAAAACACAGCUUGUGACCUUUACAUAUAUCUGCUAUGUAAUGUCCAGCCGCUCAUUAAGAGUGGAAUAUCAGCAUCUCUUCUAUACUGCAGAGGUCUUUGCUCCUUAUUUAAACAGCACGAGCUAUUUAAUUUAAUAACUUAAAAUACCAUCAGUCUUUAAACCAUUCUGCAUAAAUGCUAUUUUGAUCCUUCUCUCAGAGGUAGGGAGCACAGUACCUACUUUAGAAUGAAGAUUGAUCCUGUUGUGCUUUGGUAUGGCAGCAACAAGGAAACUACUAUCUGCAUCAAUCAAAGCAUUAAAUCCCUGCGCAUAGUUUAUACUUGCUUUUCAAAUAUGGGGACAGCAUCACUAAACACUAAAUUAUGUUUUUUGUUCAGGAUAGAGGAACCAGGAAAUAAUUGUGUAGGAAACAUCUCUAGAAGUUAUUUACUCUUGGCUGAUAUUUGAAAUUCAAGAACACACAAGAUAUACAAAGGGAUUUCUGCUUUUACAGAAUACUCUAUGGAAGUGCAAUUUCAACUUAAAAUGCCAUGUGAAAUACAUAUCUUCGUACUUUAUUGCAAAAUGUAAGUUAUGCAGCUGUUUAAAAGUGCUUUCGUUUAGAUUUGCAUUAAAUUAUCUUCAAAGACAAUUUUGUUUCCAACACAGUCAAUGGUACAAAGAAAUAAUUUUGGAUCUUUGACUUCAUAAUCUUGCAGAGAUGGAAAUAACUGCCAAAAUGUGUAUCAGGAAAGGCUAUGAAAUAUUUGGCCACUCACUGGUUCAUUUUGUGCAUUUUAUUAAUUUUGUCAAUCAGCAUUAUCUACCUAAUACAUACAUCUCAUUAUUGCAGACUCUUCACACAUACUGGUUUCCACAAGAAAUUUGUAAACAAACACUUUUGAUUCUGAUUCAGAUGUAUAUUAUACAUUUGACUGUAUCCUAGGGAGGCAGUGUGGCUAGAUUUUGUAGCAUACCUGAAAAUUCGUUGGGUUUUGCAGAAGAAACCACCCAAACAAACACAUUUUGUUUUAUGGAAGAGAUCAUCCCAUUGCCUGCCUCCCCAUUUUAUAUUCAUAAAUCCUCUUGCAUUUAACUGACUUCAGAUUUAGCUAUGUCUUCCUCUGAUUCCUCACAUUUCAGAAUGAGAAUGUAAAACUAUUUUCUAGGUAAUUGCUUUAGAACAGAAUUGGGCAUCAUGUAGGCCUGUGAAUGUUACUGAACUGCACCUCUCGUCAUCCUUCUGUAGGUUAACAAAAGAGCUGAUGGCAGUUGUAGUUCAGUGACAUCUAAGUAGCCUACACUGUUUUAGAGACAAUCUACAAGAAAGGAAGUAUCUUGAGCAAUGAAGAGGAAUUUGUGUUUAUGCUUGCACGGACUCCAUGAUAAUCUCCAUCAGAACAGCCAAGUAGAAAAACUUGAAUUGCUCCAGCAAAAGGAAGUAAGCCAACCUCCUUAAUUUGAAGGAUCCUCACAGAGGCAUAAGAUGGAAGAAGUGUGUGUCAUUCAGUGUUUGGCCACUGAAUGUUUUGAAUUUGUGCAGCUCAAGCAUAAUGUGAGAGGCUGUGAUUACACAGAUGAAGGAAAUUUCUCUGGAGUUUCUAAGUAACAGAACCAAAAGUAUAAUUUCUUAAGAUCACAUCUGAUUGAUGGUUUCAUAUAGAUGGGUGCUCUUAUUCUCCGAUUUGACAUCCCCCAGCACUCACAUUUUAAAAACCCACACAAAACAGAAGCAACAAUUUAGAGCAUUUUACCUGACAACUAGCUAACCAUACCUGAUGUUAUCUAGAUCCAAGGACAAAAGCAAAACCUACAAAGAAAAGAGAUCAAGAUACAAAAACUGGAGAGUGCCACAUUUCUCUUCAACGGCCAAUAUUCUGCUGCACAGUUGCACUAAUGGAAGGCAACAAUAUACUGUACAGCAGCUUUUUUACUAGCAUUUAAUGAGUCCCAGUGUGGAUGUUCAGGUGUGCAUUCCAACCCAAGUGGGGACUCAAGACUAGGAAGCUGCAGUAAGUUACCCUGUUUAUCUUCUGCAGGUGCAAUGAAGCAAGAAGAUUUUGGUCAAUAGAUUAGCUGA